GUCCAUGCAUUAAUAUUUUUUUAAUUGCUAAUCUCAUGGAAAAAGAUAAAGAAAUAAUCUCGUGUGUGAACAUUUAAUUUACUUUGUUUUCUUCGACUUUCAUCGGAUGCAUGAAUAUAUAAUUCUUCUACUUUGCAGAAACAACCUGCACAAUAAAACUUCCUCCUCAGUAAAGGCACAGGAAACAAAGGUUUUUAGCCAAUGAAACCAGAGAAAAACAAAGGCUCUCUUUCCAAGGUUUACUCACUUGUCUUACUCUUGGACUGUAAAUGUUGUUUGGUUACACAUGUUUGGUUUUUCA
rnacentral:lncRNA from 1 species